rnacentral:rRNA from 1 species
CCCUUUGGGGUGUGACUGCGUACCUUUUGUAUAAUGGGUCAGCGACUUAUAUUCUGUAGCAAGGUUAACCGAAUAGGGGAGCCGGAGGGAAACCGAGUCUUAAUUGGGCGUUAAGUUGCAGGGUAUAGACCCGAAACCCGGUGAUCUAGCCAUGGGCAGGUUGAAGGUUGGGUAACACUAACUGGAGGACCGAACCGACUAAUGUUGAAAAAUUAGCGGAUGACCUGUGGCUGGGGGUGAAAGGCCAAUCAAACCGGGAGAUAGCUGGUUCUCCCCGAAAGCUAUUUAGGUAGCGCCUCGUGAAUUCAUCUCCGGGGGUAGAGCACUGUUUCGGCUAGGGGGCCAUCCCGGCUUACCAACCCGAUGCAAACUGCGAAUACCGGAGAAUGUUAUCACGGGAGACACACGGCGGGUGCUAACGUCCGUCGUGAAGAGGGAAACAACCCAGACCGCCAGCUAAGGUCCCAAAGUCAUGGUUAAGUGGGAAACGAUGUGGGAAGGCCCAGACAGCCAGGAUGUUGGCUUAGAAGCAGCCAUCAUUUAAAGAAAGCGUAAUAGCUCACUGGUCGAGUCGGCCUGCGCGGAAGAUGUAACGGGGCUAAACCAUGCACCGAAGCUGCGGCAGCGAACGUAUCACUUAAAGCGAUUCAGCGGGUUACGAUUGACGGAGCGAAGCGACGUCAAAGCGUAUACAAAGUCGAGUCGGUUUAAGGAUACGUUCGUUGGGUAGGGGAGCGUUCUGUAAGCCUGUGAAGGUGGCCUGUGAGGGUUGCUGGAGGUAUCAGAAGUGCGAAUGCUGACAUAAGUAACGAUAAAGCGGGUGAAAAGCCCGCUCGCCGGAAGACCAAGGGUUCCUGUCCAACGUUAAUCGGGGCAGGGUGAGUCGACCCCUAAGGCGAGGCCGAAAGGCGUAGUCGAUGGGAAACGGGUUAAUAUUCCCGUACUUGGUGUUACUGCGAAGGGGGGACGGAGAAGGCUAUGUUGGCCGGGCGACGGUU